rnacentral:rRNA from 1 species
UACGUAGGUGGCAAGCGUUGUUCGGAAUUAUUGGGCGUAAAGGGCGCGUAGGCGGUUUGUUAAGUCGGCUGUGAAAGCCCGGGGCUCAACCCCGGAGGGUCAGCCGAUACUGGCAGGCUAGAGUACAGAAGAGGUAACUGGAAUUCCUGGUGUAGCGGUGAAAUGCGUAGAUAUCUGGAGGAACACCGGUGGCGAAGGCGGCAUCCUGGACCAACACUGACGCUGAGGAGCGAAAGCCAGGGGAGCAAACGGG